rnacentral:misc_RNA from 1 species
GAUGAAGAACGUAGCGAAAUGCGAUAAGUAGUGUGAAUUGCAGAAUUCAGUGAAUCAUCGAAUCUUUGAACGCACAUUGCGCCCCUUGGUAUCCCGAGGGGCAUGCCUGUUCGAGCGUCAUUUCACCACUCAAGCCUGGCUUGGUGUUGGGCGACGUCCUCUUUGGGGACGCGCCUCGAAACGCUCGGCGGCGUGGCACCGGCUUUAAGCGUAGCAGAAUCUUUCGCUUUGGAAGUCGGGGCCCCGUCUGCCGGAAGACCUGCUCGCAAGGUUGACCUCGGAUCAGGCAGGGAUACCCGCUGAACUUAAGCAUAUCAAUUAAGCGGAGGA